rnacentral:rRNA from 1 species
GACGAACGCUGGCGGCGUGCCUAAUACAUGCAAGUAGAACGCACAGUUUAUACCGUAGCUUGCUACACCAUAAACUGUGAGUUGCGAACGGGUGAGUAACGCGUAGGUAACCUGCCUGGUAGCGGGGGAUAACUAUUGGAAACGAUAGCUAAUACCGCAUAAUAUUGAUUAUUGCAUGAUAAUUGAUUGAAAGAUGCUAUUGCAUCACUACCAGAUGGACCUGCGUUGUAUUAGCUAGUAGGUGAGGUAACGGCCCACCUAGGCGACGAUACAUAGCCGACCUGAGAGGGUGAUCGGCCACACUGGGACUGAGACACGGCCCAGACUCCUACGGGAGGCAGCAGUAGGGAAUCUUCGGCAAUGGACGAAAGUCUGACCGAGCAACGCCGCGUGAGUGAAGAAGGUUUUCGGAUCGUAAAGCUCUGUUGUAAGAGAAGAACGGGUGUGAGAGUGGAAAGUUCACACUGUGACGGUAUCUUACCAGAAAGGGACGGCUAACUACGUG